CACGUAGGGUGCGAGCGUUUGUCCGGAAUUAUUGGGCGUAAAGAGCUCGUAGGCGGUCUGUCGCGUCUGCUGUGAAAACUCAGGGCUUAACCCUGAGCUUGCAGUGGGUACGGGCAGACUAGAGUGCGGUAGGGGAGACUGGAAUUCCUGGUGUAGCGGUGAAAUGCGCAGAUAUCAGGAGGAACACCGGUGGCGAAGGCGGGUCUCUGGGCCGUAACUGACGCUGGAGGAGCGAAAGCAUGGGGAGCGAACAGG
rnacentral:rRNA from 1 species